CCUACGGGAGGCAGCAGUAGGGAAUAUUGCUCAAUGGGGGAAACCCUGAAGCAGCAACGCCGCGUGGAGGAUGAAGGUUUUCGGAUUGUAAACUCCUUUUGUUAGAGAAGAUAAUGACGGUAUCUAACGAAUAAGCACCGGCUAACUCCGUGCCAGCAGCCGCGGUAAUACGGAGGGUGCAAGCGUUACGCGGAAUCACUGGGCGUAAAGAGGGCGUAGGCGGGAUAGAAAGUCAGAUGUGAAAUCCUAUGGCUUAACCAUAGAACUGCAAUUGAAACUGUUAUUCUAGAGUAUGGGAGAGGUAGGUUGAAUUCGUGGUGUAGGGGUAAAAUCCGUAGAGAUCAAGAGGAAUACUCAUUGCGAAGGCGACCUGCUAGAACAUAACUGACGCUGAUGCGCGAAAGCGUGGGGAGCAAACAGGAUUAGAUACCCGUGUAGUC
rnacentral:rRNA from 1 species